rnacentral:lncRNA from 1 species
GGAACACUUCAGCAAAACUAAUCAACAAAUUAUUAAUAUUUGGAACCUGAUGAUGGGUUCUGAUCCUGUCCAUUGUUACCAACCCAACUUAAGAAUGCAGAUAUCAGCCCUCAGACUACUUGGUGCUAAUGACAUAAACUGAGAUCUUUGGCCUUCAAACUCCCAGUUAAUUGGUUUCAUUCAAUUGAAGAUCUUGGUCAAUCACGCUCCAUUGAAUUGCCACAAAUGACUCUCAGUGGCUCAAACUCCCAAAUGGGGAUCACCAAAUACUAUACUUUCUGCAUCCCUCCAUCAUCAUGCUGUGCCAUUUUGCUUUUCCCAGUAGGCAUGGUGAUAAACAUGCCAGCAUUUCAGUGUGGAUAAUGA